AUUAAAUUAUUUUUAUAUAAUUUUUAUUUAAUUAAUAAUUAGACUUAUAAAACUAUAUAAAAAUAUUAAAAAAAGUAAAAUUUAUUAUAAAAAUAUUUUUAUAUCCGCAGCAUCGCACGGGCAUUUCACUAGUUACAAUUGAUAUUAGAGUUAGAUUUCAAAUCUCGCAUCGAAUGAUAAUUGCAAGGCUAAAUUACAUAAAACCUUCUAUCAAUAUCCGUUUUUUCACUUCUCUUCUUGUCAUUAAAAAAUCUAUGCUUUACAUCUCUAAAAAAUAAAAAAUAUUCACAGAAGGUAUGGUGUGACAAAAUGAUCAAGUUGUUUCAUAUUCUUCAUCUCCUCCUCUCCAAUCUUGCUUAUUUCGGC
rnacentral:lncRNA from 1 species